rnacentral:rRNA from 1 species
UACGUAGGGUGCGAGCGUUGUCCGGAAUUAUUGGGCGUAAAGGGCUCGUAGGCGGUUUGUCGCGUCGGGAGUGAAAACCCAGGGCUUAACCCUGGGCUGGCUUUCGAUACGGGCAGACUAGAGGUAUGCAGGGGAGAACGGAAUUCCUGGUGUAGCGGUGAAAUGCGCAGAUAUUAGGAGGAACACCGGUGGCGAAGGCGGUUCUCUGGGCAUUACCUGACGCUGAGGAGCGAAAGCGUGGGGAGCGAACAGG